UAAUCCAGGUGUUUUCCAUGA
rnacentral:piRNA from 1 species